ACSSGUAMUUGUACCUGGUGGCGAGCGGCGGACGGGUGAGUAAUGCCUAGGAAUCUGCCUAGUAGUGGGGGAUAACGUCCGGAAACGGGCGCUAAUACCGCAUACGUCCUACGGGAGAAAGUGGGGGAUCUUCGGACCUCACGCUAUUAGAUGAGCCUAGGUCGGAUUAGCUAGUUGGUGAGGUAAUGGCUCACCAAGGCGACGAUCCGUAACUGGUCUGAGAGGAUGAUCAGUCACACUGGAACUGAGACACGGUCCAGACUCCUACGGGAGGCAGCAGUGGGGAAUAUUGGACAAUGGGCGAAAGCCUGAUCCAGCCAUGCCGCGUGUGUGAAGAAGGUCUUCGGAUUGUAAAGCACUUUAAGUUGGGAGGAAGGGCAGUUACCUAAUACGUGAUUGUUUUGACGUUACCGACAGAAUAAGCACCGGCUAACUCUGUGCCAGCAGCCGCGGUAAUACAGAGGGUGCAAGCGUUAAUCGGAAUUACUGGGCGUAAAGCGCGCGUAGGUGGUUUGUUAAGUUGGAUGUGAAAGCCCCGGGCUCAACCUGGGAACUGCAUCCAAAACUGGCAAGCUAGAGUAUGGUAGAGGGUGGUGGAAUUUCCUGUGUAGCGGUGAAAUGCGUAGAUAUAGGAAGGAACACCAGUGGCGAAGGCGACCACCUGGACUGAUACUGACACUGAG
rnacentral:rRNA from 1 species